UUACUGUGACUAAGGUAUUGUUUUAAAUUUAUUGCUGUGGGGUUUUAGUUAGGAUCCGAUUUGUUUCAAAUGGCGCUCAGAAAGCAACUGUUAAGAAUUAAGAAGUUGUUUAAAACUUAUAGAAAUGUAUUAUGUGUAGCUGUUAUUUUAUGUAAAUUUUGUUUGACAUAAAUUAAAUUUGAAGUGUGUUUCUAUUUUGAAGUGUGUUUAAGCUUUAUAUUAAAUUCUAACAUAAGUCUUCACUAACAUUUAUUGCAUGAGUUCGAAGCCGAUUAGAUUAAAUCCGAAUACGGUAUGACCUUAAAAUUAUGUAUAUAUUAUUGUUUCAGACUUACUUUUUGUUAUGAAGGUUACAUUGUUUACACUUACAGUAGUGUUGCAGUAGUGUUACAGUGGUUGUACAGAUUGUAGUAUCAGUGCUAUGGUAUACAUUGUACAAUGUACAACAGUUGAAAGUUAUUAUGAGAGUUUAAUGUUUAAGUGUUAGUUUACGAAAGGUCUUGUGAUGUUUUAGACAGUGUUUUUGCCCUUGUAUCUGAUUUAUUUUGUAACUUAUAGAUAAA